rnacentral:rRNA from 1 species
AUGGCCGAAAUUGUCAACAAGGAGUUUCCUGAGUUGGCCCAGACAGGGCUGAACUACCUGUCAUGGUCCUCGAACUGCGAGAUCUUUCUCCAGGGCAAAACCCUCCUGAGGGCGAUCGGUAAGGGGGCCCAGCUGGCCGUCACUGAUCCCAAGUUCGAAACUGAGAAUGCGCAGGCUCUGCACUUUCUCCGUCAUCACCUAUCACCUACUCUAAAAGAUGAGUAUAUGGCUGAGCGCAGUGCUUCUGGCCUUUGGACCGCUCUUAAGCAGCGGUUUGAGCGGCUGAAGUACACUGUGAAGCCACGUGCAGAGGCAAAGUGGAUCCGUCUAAGGUUUGCGGACUUCAAGACGAAGAUUGAGAAAACCCUAUCCACUUUCCACCCCGACGCGGUCCAGUCCUCACGGAACUACCGCCAGGGGAACUACACGAGGUAUUCAGAGUUGAUUGACGUCCUCAAGGUGGCGGAGGCGCAGGACGAGGUUCUCAAAAAGAACUUUGUCGCGCAACCACUUGGGAGUUCUCGCCAGGAGGUGAACGCUCUCAAAGUCCGCAAGCCUCAACAGAACAAGAGGGGCCGAAAGGCGGAUAAGCAGAACAAGCCGGGCAAGGGAGGGCAAAGGCCUCAGGACUGCUUCCGUUGUGGCUCGGUGGAGCAUUUCUCCCGCCAGUGCCGCGCACCACAGGAGGUCGUUGAUGCAUAUAAGGAUCGAAAGGCGCGUGAGACGCACCUCACCUUGGUUCAGGAGGGAGCACCACCGGCGCCCAUGGCGGCACCCGUGAUGAUCGCUACUCCCCCUGCUGCGCCCAUAGAGGCGACCCCAGUAGUUCCCAUCGCGGAAGCUUUGGCGGUCUCUACCGACGGCCACGUCGCCAUGGAGGUUGACCACAUGGUCGCCUCGGCGGCGCCGCCACUAGACAUUGAUGCUGCCUCCAAGAUGAUUUCUAAGGAGGAUCAGCUCACUAGUAUGGAGAUUGCGGCGGAAGUGAAUGGCUUCUUCACCGAGUCCACUUAUCAUACCUCUUUGGUUAUCAUGAUUCCGUGA